rnacentral:rRNA from 1 species
ACGCGAGCUGGGUUCAGAACGUCGUGAGACAGUUCGGUCCCUAUCCGUCGCAGGCGUAGGAAAUUUGAGAAGACCUGUCCUUAGUACGAGAGGACCGGGAUGGACGUACCUCUGGUGUACCAGUUGUUCUGCCAAGGGCAUGGCUGGGUAGCUAUGUACGGAAUGGAUAAGCGCUGAAAGCAUCUAAGCGCGAAGCCAACUUCAAGAUAAGAUUUCCCACCGCAAGGGUAAGACCCCAGAAAGACUAGCUGGUUGAU